rnacentral:rRNA from 1 species
AGGGUUUGAUUCUGGCUCAGAACGAACGCUGGCGGCAGGCCUAACACAUGCAAGUCGAGCGCGCCUUCGGGUGAGCGGCGGACGGGUUAGUAACGCGUGGGAACGUGCCCUUCUCUACGGAAUAGCCUCUGGAAACGGAGAGUAAUACCGUAUACGCCCUUUGGGGGAAAGAUUUAUCGGAGAAGGAUCGGCCCGCGUUAGAUUAGGUAGUUGGUGGGGUAACGGCCUACCAAGCCUACGAUCUAUAGCUGGUUUUAGAGGAUGAUCAGCAACACUGGGACUGAGACACGGCCCAGACUCCUACGGGAGGCAGCAGUGGGGAAUCUUAGACAAUGGGGGCAACCCUGAUCUAGCCAUGCCGCGUGAGUGAUGAAGGCCUUAGGGUCGUAAAGCUCUUUCGCCUGUGAUGAUAAUGACAGUAGCAGGUAAAGAAACCCCGGCUAACUCCGUGCCAGCCGCCGCGGUAAUAC